CAGGUCAUUGCAGUUUAACUCUUAGGGUGCUGCUGCCUUCCCAGCCACAAGCCCAGCUACUCUUAGAGGCUGAAAACUGUCUCGGAGCCUGCUAAUGACUUUAAUGAGCUGCUCAUGAAGACAACAAAGAUUUGUGCAAUAGAGAAUGGCAAACUGGCUCAGAGCUGGUGUGAAUGGAAGAAUUGCUCCAGUGAAUGUCUGUCUGCUGGGAAAACAGUAGAGCACCUAUAGAAAGAACAUAGUGGGCUUGUUCAGUACAACAGCCUUUCAGAGGAAACCUCAAACACCCUAAAGCAGCAGUGGCAUGGGACCAUUGCCUUUCAAAAGGAUGAGGGGAAGGAGGAAUUAAAAUGGUUUCAAUAAAAAAUGGUGCAGGCUUGCAA